rfam:Asian citrus Psyllid, Diaphorina citri - Florida Strain, whole genome shotgun sequence.
GACUCGGUGGCGUAGUGGUCAAGACGCUCGCCUGGUAAACAGGAGGGCGUGGGUUCGAUCCCUUCCGAGGCA